GGGGUAGGUGCGUUUCGAGACUUAGCGGCCGUGUGAAGAGCGGCACAGCAGUCACGCCAUCAACCUGGGAGCACAGCAGGGCUGGGCUAUCCAGCACUCCUCACUUGCCAGUAUAUUUUCACUGGAGAAAGUCAGGCUCAGAGUAUGCCAAAAUCCACAUAAAUAACAAACUUCCAGCGAAGCUUUGACAAAAGAAAGAGGAGAGAGAUGGAAAGCAGUCACCUUCCUGUGCAAUAUGGGAGUGAAACCCAGAUGCUCUCCUCCCUUCUUGAGGCACUCUUGCAAUGGGCUGUGUCAAGUACUGUGAUAUUAACCCAUACUGGCUCUAAUGAUAAUGACAGGAAGGAAAGAUCAAAGUAAGCUCUUUGUACUUGAAAAGAAUUUCUCCUAAGCCAAAUUUUAUAUUGCAUGCAAACUAAACUAGACAUCAAACACCUUGUUUGAACAUCUCCUAGUCUUCCACAAAAUCCUAAUUCCAUCAUUUUUCCCCAAUCUGUUGUGUUAGGACGCCCAUUCCUCUCACUAUGCUCUGUUGUACACUGCCCAGAAGGGCGACUGGAAUGUUAAUUCUUCCAUCACCUCUUCCAUUCAGCACACCUUCAGCCAAAUGUCUUCACCCGGCUUUAUGAAUGAGACUUCUGAUUAUCUCAUUCCCACGAAAGGGAUUUAUGAGUGUAGCUCCUCAUUAAUAACAUUAUAGUUCUUAUUAAGAAUUCUUUGUUAAUAAGAAAUCUCCCAAACACAUGACUAAUUUAUACAGUGCUCAUUCUCUGCAAUAUCUACGCUCUGAAUCAUUGAUGCCCAGCAGUUAGAAUGUCCAGCACUGGUAGAAACUCUCCUCUGGCAUCAGCAGUCACACAAUCACUUCCACAGAAUUCAGAAGAUGGAGGACAGCUCCCUUGCUUCCUGGCACUGCUGCAAGCUGCAACUUUUUCAUUUCCUUCAGCCAAAAAUGGGCAAUUUGUGAAAAUUACAUCUGUCCAGUGCAUGACUAAGAAAGCAAGAAACCUCAUGAGAAAGCUUUGCUGUUCAGGGAAUGCUUUGUGUACCCAUGGGCAACAGGCAUGUGGCAGCAUGGCCCAGUGA
rnacentral:lncRNA from 1 species